GACAGAAUCCAUUUAAUUUUUUUGAGCCCAGUUCUAAUCCCUUCCCAUUCACCACAAACCCGCCCUGUCCAAGCAAAAACCUACUCCCUACCCGGUCUGUCCCCAAACCCACCAAACGACGCUGUUUUAUCAAGAUUUGAUCUUAGCCAUUGAUGAUGUUUUAUCAUAGGCUGAGAAAUGGGGGUUUCUUAAUACUUAUAUGUCUAAACGUCCCCUACCCCCCUCCCCCCGCCCAAACCAUCUCACAAAUGCACCCUUUCAGAACUCCGACGUAAUGCCACCGUCCGCCGCCCGUUGGAAAUCGCCCACGGCGGCGGCCGUCGGUCAAACCCACUCAAAAUCACAUCAUGAACUCCCCUCAACCCCCUGGUUUCAAAUCCCCAACCAUCUUCCCUUGAGUCCCUUUGUAUCUCUCCAAAAAUCCGACCAAAAGUGAAAACCUUAGCGCCGCCACUUCCAAAUGCACCCAAAAUAACACCCCUUGACCUCCUCCAUCCCCUCUCCCCCAAUCUCUAGUUAGUUUCCCUCGAACCCCUCAGAACUUCUCGAAUAUGGAAUUAAAGAAAACCUUAAAAUCACAAACUCAAAUUCAGCGGGCCUUUUGGAGAUUUUAGGCUGUAAUGGCCUUUACUCGUGUGUUUUCACAUGAAAAAACACAAUUAAGGACCUUUCCUGUGAAGAAAUCGAAGGAGUCCUCAGAGUUUGCAAGUUUGCGUUACCGAUAUUUGGUAUUUUUGUAUGUGUUUUGGUUAUUCAUCGUUUGUUUAGUUUUCUAAUUUUAGUUUUCUGUUUCUGUUCCUUCUCCUCUUCGUAUUUUAUUUUUUUCUAUUCAUGCAUGAUUAAUUCAUAAUAUAUUUUUAUUAAUUAGUUUGUUUAACGUUCAUUUAACUCCCUGCAUGUUUUAAUCAGUAGCUUAGUUAGACUGGAAAAGUUACUUCAAUGGUUGGGUCAGUCUUUCAAAAUAGGAAUUUUGUUUAAUGUUAAUUGGACCCUAAAAAAUUAGAAGCAAAAAAACCAAUUAAAUAUUGGACUCUAGCCUAUUCAUAGGCCCAGGAAUGGUUCAAUCCAUUGGGUCCUUGGCCAGUCGACUCAUUAUAGUCCAAGGGUAAUUCUCAGGAGUCCUAAUGGGUAUUUUGGCUAAUGUAUUUAGAGAGUCUAUGAGUAACCACCUGAAGAAGCUUCUCAGAAGCUGCAAAAUAGCCUUGCUUGACCAACAAGGCAAAAAUUAAGGGAUUAAGUAGCAAAAAAAAAAUUGUCUAAGGUUUUCUAAGGUAAAAUGAAAAUUUGAAAAGGUUUAGAGUGUAAAACUUAACUCCUUUCUGCAGCCCUAAAACUUGGCCUAUAAAUACAUCCUUACGUGAAGCUCAAGAGAGAAUUAGGAGAUAAAAAUCUGAAAAAAUGAACCUUAGAAACUCAAAGAGAAAAACCCCAGAAAAAACAAACGGCUGAAAUUUUUCACUGUUCCAUUGAACUUUUUUUUUGAAGUUUUUAUUUCUCAAACACCUUCUGAUUCAUCUGGGUUUAGAUUGGAUUGAAUUUGAUUUUGUUAAAGAUUUGUUUAAAGGUUAUGGGGUACUGUUUGAUUAAAAUUGGGAUAUAGUUUGAUGUGCUUUUGGUUCAAAGUUGAUUUUGCUGGUUAUUUCCUGGUUGUUGAGUUUUUGCUGCUGCGCUGCUUGAUUACUGACCUUCAUUUGUUUUUCUUACGUUUCAUAUUCCAGUUUCAUGUUCCUAGAUUCAUCUCAUAUGAGGUUUGAUAUUGAAAUGAAAUGAAAUCCAGAGUUCCAAAUGUGGUUUCUGCAUAUUCAAAUCUAUUAGUUUAGUUUCAGUUGUUUUGUUGGAGUUAUUUGAUGUGUAGUAUGCUCAACAUAGGAGCUAUUACUCAACUUGCAUCUGUUCAAGUUAGUAUAGCCCUUGCACUAAUUUUACUUGCUUUUAAAAUUUUAUUGUUAUCGCUAGUUUUGGGACUAUUGAAGUAAGGAACUUGAUAAAAAUAUUGACCAUUAGCUAAGUUUUGUGAUUAAGCCAUGUUAGCUAAGUAUAUGGUAUUAUGGAACUGUCAAGUAACUGCAACAUCAUACUUCUUCAAACACCUGAGUUUUAGCUUUAAUCUUGGUUGAAAUAGGUGCUCUUGUUUGUAGGUAAUUUUGUAUUAAAUAGCUAUUAUGAUAAUUAUAAGUUAGAGGUGGAGGUGAAUGAUGUAUAAUCUAUUAUGUUUAAUUGUGGUAUAUCAUUAAAUGCAGAAUUGGUGGUCGUGUGAUAUUCAAUCAUGUAUUCAUGGUUGAUAUAAUCUAAUUUGCCUAUAAGUUUGUUUUAGUUUUCAUACAAAUUAGUUAAAUGUUUUGAUGUUGAUAAGAUGAGGUUUUAGAGCAUAGUAAUAUUUGGGUUAAUUUCUAUAGUUGGAUUAAUUUUAGCUCGCAUGGGAUUGACAUAGGAUUCAUAUUUUAACAUCUCCCUUUCCCUUGUUAGAUUUGGGCUUAACUUGGGCCCACAACCCAGAAAUCAUCCAGACAUAGAUAACAACAGUCCUUGAUAUCAUGUGUGCUUCAUGGGAUCAAUAUUUAAUCUCAAUGGGCGUGUGUACAGUCUUGUGUUCUUGCAGGGGCUCGAUCCUGAGUCCUGACGUUACGGCUGCUUGCAUUUUGAAUGUUGGGCUUCAUGUAUAAUUUAACUUAAGUUACCGAAAAUUAUUGGUUCGGUAGCAUGCGUAAUAAGUAAUUGGGCUCUCCUUUUGGGCCUAGGUUUGAAAGGGGAUUGGACUUUUGAUUAUUUAUUCUCGCAGCGUAAGUUCAACUUGGCAUAAAGGCUUUUGAAUUCCUAGAGUUUCAUUAAUUAGCUUGAUUUUCUUUGGAGGUGUGCUAUAUUAGACAACACAAAUAGUUUAUGACCCUCUGAAUUUUAGUUUGAGUUCCCUAUUAAAUAAAUUGUGGUGUGUCGCGCCCAAUAAAAUUUUAUAUGUGUGGCCCUCAUUUAAUUA
rnacentral:lncRNA from 1 species